GCACUUUAGUUCAAUGGAAGAAUGCUCGUCUGCUAUGCGGGCGAUCAGUGUUUGAUUCUCGGGCAAUGCA